UAGGGAAUCUUCGGCAAUGGACGAAAGUCUGAUCGAGCAACGCCGCGUGAGUGAAGAAGGUUUUCGGAUCGUAAAACUCUUUUGUUAGAGAAGAACAAUGACGUUAGUAACUGAACGUCCCCUGACGGUAUCUAACCAGAAAGCCACGGCUAACUACGUGCCAGCAGCCGCGGUAAUACGUAGGUGGCAAGCGUUGUCCGGAUUUAUUGGGCGUAAAGCGAGCGCAGGCGGUUUCUUAAGUCUGAUGUGAAAGCCCCCGGCUCAACCGGGGAGGGUCAUUGGAAACUGGGAGACUUGAGUGCAGAAGAGGAGAGUGGAAUUCCAUGUGUAGCGGUGAAAUGCGUAGAUAUAUGGAGGAACACCAGUGGCGAAGGCGGCUCUCUGGUCUGUAACUGACGCUGAGGCUCGAAAGCGUGGGGAGCAAACAGG
rnacentral:rRNA from 1 species